rnacentral:lncRNA from 1 species
GGUAACAUUGCUAAAGUUGCUCUAGCCAAAUUUGCUAUGGCAAGACAGUAGAGCCCCAACAAAAUGGCCUGCGCCGUGUAUCUGAUUAUCCGGUUACACCGAGACAGGAUAGAGCACGUCAGCCCAACCAAACACAUUUGAGAAAGCCCUCAAGCAAAGCAGAGUGAAGCAUAUGAACAACGACCAUUUUUUUCCAACAUAAAUAUAAAUACGUUCUAUUGUCAUCAUAUUUAACACCCACAAGCAACACUGAAAGAAUAGUCUUCCAAAUUUAACCGAGGUUCUACAAAAGUGGCUUUGGUGCAACAGGGUAGGCUAAGGAGCAGCUGCAAGGUCGGGGAAUGACACUUCAGUUCUUUCAGCGCUUCCCGCCGCCACCACCCAACUUGGGGCCCUUGGAACCCUUCUGGACCGCGCCCUUCGUUUGCCCCUUCUGGGACUUGGUCACCUCCGCCUUCUUUGCUUUCUUCUCAUCCUUGGUCUUCUUGAUGCGCUCCUUGAUCUCGCUGCAAGGUCAUGACAGUUCAAAUGAGUAGGGAGAGGUAUUGAGCAUCAGUAUCUAUUGCAUUUCUGUAAAAUAUCACUCGAGUACAAACCAGAUUUUAUUGGUUAGACAAACAAAUGGUUACUACUGUCAGGCAAAAACAAUGGCUUUAUUUGGCAAACAUACCGAAGAGCAGCUUCUCUAGCAGCAUCGCGAACCUCUGGCUUCUCAGCUCUCUUCUUCUGGAUCACUUCCAAGGAAGCACCCACAAUUGACCUGGAGUAUGGCUUCUUGGUGGUGCGGCGCCUCUUCUUGACCGCUUCAGCAUGGAUGUCCUGCGGAAAAAAAUGGCAUGUAAGUUGUAGACUUCUAGCACCAUUAUGAGCAUGGCAGAAAUAAUUGUUUUUGCAAACGUCUUGUCAGAUGCUAUGCAUCAAAUAGAUCGAUACAAUGAUAAUUAUGAAGUGUAGAUUACAAGGAAAAAAACGCAUGAUUCAGAAGACAGCUAACUACAUUAGCUAACAUUAAAUGUACAUUAACACAUGAAGGUUAGCUAGUUAAUGUUACAUAUCAGCGCAGCAUAUAAAUACAGAAGUUAACACAAGAAUCAUAAUCCGGAAUGGCGAGAAAUCGUCCACAGCUGAGGUUUAUUCAAAUACUGGUCCUAUAAUAAGACUUGUAUUCAGCUAAUACGAGAAAGCUGUAGCUAAUCUAUAACCAAAAAACAUGGAAUCCUCAUAUGAGAAAUGAACAAAUGACAUUCUUAAGAAUGCUAGCUGGGUAAUAUCACAUACCUUCUUGUGUUGCUUCCUGUACAUUGCUGUCCAGGUAAGCUUAGCAGGCUUCAGGCGGUUGUGGAAGUAGCGCUUGCAUUUCGAGUUGGCAAAAAGGAAAACCUAUAAAACAAACAUAAUUUAUUUCUAUAAGAUCAUUUUGUAUAAGCUUAGAAAUCUCUUAUAAAAUUGUAAUCACAAGUAACCUGAGAAUCAGCACGAAUAAAUCUGAUGCCUUUCCCAGGAUAAAUCUUCUGACCGCUGAAGCGGCAAAGUUCCGUCCUGCAAUGAGAUGACCGUACUUAGAAUAAUUUCGAGAUCCAUAACUCUUAAUAGAUUAGUUCUACAGUCAUUAAUUAAUCACAGAAAAUAUACUAGCCAUGCAGAAAAAAAUAAGGGCAUUGACUAUCGAGAUAUAUUCACAUAUUUCAAUUGGAAUAAAAGUAGAAACUUACUUCAGCACCAUCUUCUCAGGCUCAAGAAACCUUCACCAACUACAUAUUUCACAAGAACCAAAGAAAUAAAAUCAGAAUUGAUGAUAUAUACAUUUGACAAUGCAACUACGAAAUUACAUAACCUGAGAAAUCAGUUAUUAUUAGAUAACAAUGUAAGUUAGCUCACACACAAAUAUCAGGAUUUGACAGGCAGCAGAAACCAGGUAUGUUUGCAGCCACACAAAAAAAAAUUACCAGGAUUUGAAAGGGAACACAACCAAAGCUAAGUUCCUGUUGCAAGGGUUCUAUCGUGUAUCACACACUCAAUGAAAUAGGCAACUAUGAAAUGCCAAAGUCCAUAGUAACCAACACUCAAAAGAUUUAACUGUCGGGUGACUACUGGCAGCAGAAACACAGCAAAUCUCUGCUGCAAAGCGGGUUCCCUGGUCCAUAUAGCACACACAAAAGUUUGGCAACUACGCUAUUGAAACAGCUAUAUCGCCACAGUACAUGUGCACUGAUCCGUCCUAGGGAAAGGAAACCUAACUACCUAAAUCACAACACAUAGACAACACAAAACUUAAAUGGACAUAUACAUCCCGAGGACUAUCUGCUUGCAAGACAAUGACUACAACUAACAAGCUACAGGUGCAAAAGAAACCAGAUGACAAUGAACCAAUGCAAGUACAAAAACUGUCAAAUCAAUAGCAAUCAAUUAAACAACCAAGCAAAUUUGCAAGCGCACAAAUAUUAGGAUUUGACAGGCAGCAGAAAAGCAACCAAAAGUAAGUUCCUGCCGCAAGGGUGCUAUCCUGGCACAUCUCGCACAUCAAUGAAAUAGGCAACUAUGAAAUGGCAAAGGCCAUAGCACCUGAGUGCAUGUGCUUUAGAUUCAAAAGGUCCUCCCAAACACUUUCAGAACUCAAAAGGUUAAACUGACAUGCGACUGCUGGCAGCAAAAAUAAGGAACAAAUCUCUACUGGAAACAGGGUUCUCUGAUCCAUAUAGCACGCACAAAAAAUAGACAACUAGGAGUACGCGAUUGAAACAGCUGUAGCGUCACAGACCCUCAGUAGUCAGUACUGUGCUUCGAUCCGUCUCUAAGAAGGGAAAGCUAAACACAAACAGCCAACUCAAAACUCAACUGGAUGUACACCUCCCGAUGUUUAUCUACCUGCAGGACAGUGAUUCUCCUACAGGUGCAACAAAUGAAACCAUCUAAUGACCACAACCACCAGAUCACGGGAAUGGAAUUAGGGACGGUUCUAGCGACAACAACAAGAGAUUAAGGCGAGCGCAGGAGCUAGUGUAAGGCAGGAACGAAGGCAGAUGGUUUCGACUGUUGCCAUACCUUCCGGGUGGAGGAGCGGAGCCGCAGGCGGCCGCGAGGCGGUGGUGGCGGCGGCGCGGAGGAGGAAGGGGGAGUGUGCUAGUGGCUCCGCUAGGGUUUCUUAUAUUAGUUCGUGCGUUGGGCACUUGGGCUGAUUGACUAGGUUCUGAUAUAUGCUGCGAAGUGGGCCCUUUUGGGCCCAAAAAACCGCAUUGUGGGCUUCAGGCAUAACAAUGAACCCAUGGGCUUUUUUUGGGCGGAAUUAGGUAAGGUAUUUUUCUACCUUCAUGAACUUUUUUAUCUUCUUUAUUAAAACCUUUCAUCUCAUCUCUCGACUCUUAAAAUUGUUUAAAUUACCUCUAAAAUUUUUUUAAAUUACCUUCCUAUCAGACAAAAUAGUUUUCAAGGUGAUUUAAUCACUUCUAUAAUUAAAAAAUCCAGCCAAGAACUAAUAGUUGUAUAAAAAAGUUUGCUUCUAAAGUUAUACUUAUGGAUGUGUUAUGAUACGGUGGUUGGAUAUUUGUGUUUGUGCUAAUGCUUGUUCGAUUCUAAGUAGUACUUCAUGGACAAAUAAGUUGUCUUUACAAUGUAACCAUGAGAUUUGAAAUACAACAGACCACUAAUUAAUUGGGUUUCUUAAUGUUGUGUUACAUAAGGUCGGUUUAAGUGGCACAAAAGGGGGCUUCUAAAAUGGAUUUUGCUCCUUGACAGUGGCUGAAACCUCAGUGGUAGGUGUAAAAUUAGUUUGAAGAGAACAUCGAAAGGAUCAUGCGAUAAAACCAUCCAUAUAUCUUUAAAAUGUUAUUUGAGUCUUAGUAACUCUGACAAAUAGGAAUCGCGACUUUAAGAUGAAAGUGUGCAGUUUAUGAAAAGUGUAAACUUGAUAUAUCAGUCGUACUCACGAUUAAGAGUGAGUUCAGACUUCUUCGUGAUUAGAUGGGCUCUUGGCGGUUGGUUGGUUCAGAUGAAACUUGGAUGGAAUCCAAGCGUUGGUGUGGUUUGGUUCUCUCCGGAGAUCGCGAUUUUCACCUAGUAACUUGUGCUAAGUAGGAAACCCAAUUACCUAAAUUAGGAUGUGUCAUUAAAGUCUUUAUGCGAAACCCUAUGAGACUUUCCUUGCUUUAAGCCUCAUGUCAUCUUUUACUGCACUCGCGGAAUACAUUUCAAGAUACUCAUUCUUCUUUCUUGUCCCCUACUGCCCCACCGAGCCAUUCAAAUUUGAAGAUGGAGUUUCAUGAAAAUGAUGCUGAGGCUAGGCUAAUGUACCCUCGAUUGGUUGCCCGUGAAAGACGACGGAAGACCAUGUUUAAAAGUCUACGAUGUAAUUUUCUUUUAGACUAUCGGGUUCUUUAAAUUGAAGUUAUUAGAAAAUAUCGAAUUGUCAAUGCUCCCAAGGGCUGGUGUUGUCCACGUAACUUUGUCUUGGACCAACCUAUAGCCCAUGUAACAUCCGGACCCACUAGGGGGAGUAGAAAACCUGUUGGCUUUAUGUCCAUUGAUUGAUCGACAUUCCAACGUGAUCUGUCACGACAGACCAUGAGAUCCAACCAUUACGGAGCAUGCACAAGCUUCUUUUUACAUGCGCGCAUCCUCAUCCUCCCUAUACGAGCCGCCGACUAGAGUAAAGCGUCGUUCACACGGCCGGCCGGCCGGCUGGCAAUGCGCCGUCGCUGUCCCGGCCGCCCCACCCGGCCGGGCGCGCAUCGCGCCGGUGGUUUCGCCGUCGGAACCGGCCGGUUUCCCAGCCCGGAUCGACCGAGGCGCGCAGAGCAGGUCUUCGAUUCGCCACUGCGGCGCCGUCGUGUGAUCCCAGUCGUACACGCACGUCUCGUUCCAUUCGCAGAUCACAAGGCGGUGGGAUCGACGAGACGUCGAGGUCGAGACCGCCGAUCGAGUCCGAUCCGGCACAUCGCACAUGGGACAUGGCGUUGGCUUUUCCGAGUGAUCCGAUCGACGAGACUGUGAGGGACGCGACCCGGCUUUAAUUUCCUUGCCGCUCGAUCGGCGGCGUCUUUUCCUCUCCAUCGCGCACGCCCUCAAUGCACUGGUGCCGCUCCACCAGCGUUAGCGAGAACGAACGAAGCGGAGUGCUGGAACCCCACCAAGGAUCCACACGUGCGCGAAAGGGCAUCAUCAGAGGGCCCACGAGUGAUUCAAGAAGCUUCUUGCAGUUCGUCAGGUCAGGCCACACACCACUCUGUCUCUGUGUUGCUCGGCUGGUCCCGUCCCGGCCCCGGCGCAGCAGAAAGGUACGUGUGCUGCGGUGCAACGCGAUGCAUCCGUCGUCUCGUCUCGACGCAAAUGCUCGCAGGAAUAGAUGAGAACCGCAUAGAUAUGUUAGAUGCAUGCAUCUCUUUUUCUCGUCUCAGUUGUUUGUUCAUCUGUUGUAGUGUGUGUGUGCGGCACCUAACUUUGUUCACCCGCAAAACACGGCCGUGGGGCAUGCUGCGGGAUCUUGCAUUGUCAAAAUCCAAAGUACAAAUAAGACGCUAUUUUGUGGCAACGGAUCAGGAAUAAAGUUGACUCGGAAGGUCAUCAUAGUUGUUUACUGGAGUAAGUCACUCUGCAGAGCAAAGUCAAAUUAAUGUCGUUAAUGGUCAUGCAACAACAAGAGUUCUGAAACGCUCUCCUUCCUCAAAUGCAGAGUUUGGUGCAUGCGAUCGAGUCAUCCUGCACUGUAUGUACUUAUAUGUCAGUUGACAUCGCUAAAGCUUUUCCGAAACGUACACGGAUCGGAGCACGAUCGCAUGAAUGAACUUUGGGUGAGAUGGGCAAAAUAUCUAGGCGCAGCAGCGAAAAUAAAAAGGACUGGACUGGAGCUUGUUGGGAACUGUUGAUGUUAGUGCAUGCCCAAUUAGGGUUGAUGAGUUUGAAUAAAGACUUCGAGUGGUGACCUGCCAACUUCCACCUGUGGUGUGGCGUCUCGAACGAAAACUGUGAACGCAGCAGCAAGAUACGUACGAAUGCAGAAUUAUUGUCAAUAUUGUUGUACUAUAGAAACGGGAAAGAAAAUCCUUCAUAAAAAGAAAGUGGUUAGGAAGAAAACGAAUUUUUACACGAACUCUUUUUCUUCCUAAAAUAUACGAAAUUCAAAGUUGUCUACCAUUAAACCAUUUCUAGUUUGAUCAGAAUUACCAAAAAAACAAUAUUUACGAUAUAAAAUGAGCACAAUUGGAUAAUAUAUUUAAUGUGCUAGAUGUAUAUUCGUUAUUAUUUAUAAAUUUAGUUAAACUUAAAAUAAUUUAAUUUAGGAAAACUGAGGUUCUUAUAUUAAUCGAAGGGUAGUAAAGAACACUAGCUAGCUAGCUUUUACUUAGCUAUAUAUGUACGCUCGUAGCUAAUCUAUGAGCUCUUUAAUUUAUAUACAGUAGUUAGCUCACAUAUACUAGCUUACUUAUUUCAUUUCACAAAGUUUUUUGGUUUUUAUUAAGCUAGCUGUAAACUCAAUUACAUCCAGUUUCUCUAUCCCUCUCUCCACCACUUCAUAAUACACCCAUCUCCAUCCCUUUACUAUACCUAUAUAUUGUUAAUAAUUUGGAAAGGCAUUCGAGCACUUUAAUUAUAUACUUUUAGUUAUCUUACAGUACUUAUGUAUCGAAUUACUCGAGAAAUUGCUGUCAUAGACAGACAACAGUGUAAUUGUGCUGUGAUAUUAUGAGGUGAUGAUAUAAUAAACACGGAAGUCCGAUCCCUUGCACUUGCACACACGCCAUAUGUAUAGAUAUACGUGUGACUCGAUCAUCGAGCUACAAGUCGGCAUCACGGCAUCAUCAAGCUGCAUGCCGAGGCAAGAAGGACGAGCAAGUAACAAAAAAGUGCAGAGUAGUAAAAUGGCAUCACAGUCCUGUGAUGCAAUGAUUUGCAUGCAAAACAAGCAAGGACGGGAGUCUCCAAGAUGUAAACUACUCCAGGCGUUGCCGAUUUAGACAGACAAACGCACAGCUAAUGAACCAGAGUGGCAUAACAUAGUCCCGCUAUUCAAUUAUAUAUAAUGCGAUAUAUAUAUACACUCCAAGAUCUUAUAACCAAUGACAGGAUGUCGCGUACUUAUUCAGUCUAACUUAACUAAGACAAGGUGGCAUUAUAAUUUGUUGGCAGGGGGAGUACGCCCUCUGUCUUUUCUAAGUGUCACUUUGGUAUUCAUGUCGGCCAUUUUUUUAAAAAAAUAACUAUAUUUUAUAAAAAAUACUAACAAUAUUUAUAUUUCUAAUGAAUCUAUCAUAAAAAUAGAUUCAAUGAUAUUUAUUUUGUACAUAAAUAUUAAUAUCUUUUUCUUGUAUGUAUUUGGUAGAAAUUAAACAUGUUUGAUUUCUUGGAAGGAAGAACUUUAGGUAAAAAGGCUGUAUACUCAGCAGUAAUCAAAUCAAAUCGUGACAUGGCAAAAAAAAUCACAUCGUGACAUCGAUUUACCGACGACUCAUUGUCGUUGACAACUGGCAUUCUGUCAGCGCUCACCGGUUAGUGCCGCGCGUUCCCACACAGAACAUUUCACCUUCUGAAAAAAAGCCGGUAACAUUUAAAGAUUUGGACAUUUUAGUUGACCUUUUAUUAGCCGGACCGCGAGUGGACGCCAGUGAGCCGAGCAACGCCGUGGUCGUCCAACUAUAAAACCCGCGGCACCACCCGGCGUCAUCCCCAUUCCAUUCCAUUCCAUUCCAGUUUCAGAAUUCCUGGCACCUCGUUCCGUUCGUCCUGAGAUACGCCCCCCUACUCGUGAGCAGGCGGAAAUGAAGCGCCACGCCGAGAAGCCGCUCCUCGUGCUCCUCGUGCUGUCCUGCCUCCUCCUCCUCCUCCUCCCCCUCGCCUCCGCCGUCCCCACGCCAAGUGAGCCUCGGCUUCCCAUCCACCAGCUCGGCCCGACGGCCAUGGCGUUCGCUAGCUAGCUCGAUCGAUCCCACCGCUGAUUCCUUCCUCGAUCGGUUGCUGAUUUUGCUCGUGCGAUUGCAGGAAGCCUGCGCCUGGUGGGGAGGAGCCAGCUGCAGCAGCGCCCGCCGGCUCUGAAGCUCACUUCUGCUCAGGUACGGUGCUACUAUAUAAACCGGCUGUUUUAAUUCCUCUGCCUUCCUGCCGGCUGCCGGCUGCUGUCUGUGUUCGUUCCCUCUUGAAUUUACAGAAGAACUGUUAGCGAAAAAUACAGAGGUUAAUUAAUUAAUUAAUGAAUUAAUUCAGCGAUGGUAGUGGUAGUGGCUGCUGCUGUAAUAUAAUCCUGAUGCGACGAUGAUGACUUUGUGUUGGGACACUACAGGAGACGGCGAUCGCGGCGGCGAUGAACAUGGGCAAGCCUAUGGCGAGGAUGGUCGUGGAGGUGAACGACUACCAACCGUCUGGCCCCAACAACCGCCAUGACCCACCCAAGGGUCCCGGAAGAGCUUGAACAACGGAGCUCAGCUAGACGGACGACCCAAUAAUCCUUCGUCGUCGUCUUUAUUUACCAGUAGUACAAAGUGCUUUUGCUAGUGCUCCUGUGUAUUUCUAGUAGAAAUUAAGCUAGAAACAAAAUUACCUAGCCAUAUAUAUAUAUAUAUAUAUAUAUAUAUUUAUAUAUACAGGCCGCGUGUGUGUGUAUGGCUUUGGAAGCACAUCGGUUGUUUGGAGUUGUGAUUAGGUUGCUGUUCGAUAUCAUCGUCAGAACUGCAUGCAGAUGUAUCGAGUGAUCGAGUCGAUACAGUGCCCCCAGCACAUUGAGAUCGUUCAGCUCUCUGCUCCUCCAUGAUGCAGCAUCAUUGCUCCCUCGACCGCCUCAUCUUUUGUUGCGUCACGGCUGCUGCUGCCGCCGCCCGCCGCCGCCCGUGACAAGCUAGUACGUACGCGUGCGCUGCUGAGCGCGAGGCGGCGACGUCGAGCUGCGCGCCUGCGCGUUUAUUAUCCUGCGAAUUUUCCGUGAUCCGUGACUCGUGAACAACCUCUCUCUCUCUCUCUCUCUCUUCGCCGGGCGAGCUAGAAACCGCGACCAUCGGCCUGCACGGCGGGCCACGCCCACGGCCACGGGCGCCGCUCUGCUCCGCUCGUGUCCCCCUGGCCCCCGCCGCGAUGUGAGGGGCGAGGUGGCGUCUGGCGAGAUGCGGCUCUGACUUGUUGGGUUGGGAAGGAGGGAGAGCGACGCCUCGUGCCCUCGUGUGUGUCGUUUCCUCGUGUCCGAUCGCUGGGGGUCCUCCGCGCACCGCCCGCGCCCAGUGAGCUGACGCCGCCUGACGACGGAGAGAGAGAGAGGGGACCCGGCCGGUGACGGAGCCACAGGGGCUUUGACACGACGGCACACAGGAGCACCGCCGCUACGCGCCGCUCCGGGCCUUUGACUUGGGUGCUCCCUGUGCGCCCGUGAGGGGCCGUGAUCGCGAGCUCUGCGCAAAGAUGCGCCGGCCCAGCACGGCCGAGAGCGGCGGGGCCGAAAACGACGCACGGGACAGCUGACGACAUGUGGAGGGGACGCACACGGACGCAGCGCUGCAACGGCCACUCGCUGCUAGUUGCCUUCCUUGGUCCUUCUUCCAUCCAACCUUGGAGAUAAGCGAAAGAUCCGAUGGGAUCCUAUGCUAGAAAGAGUCCACGUCGCAAUGGGGUCCUUGCAAACAAGAACACUAAGGUCAGUCACAAUGUAUGUUUUAUGAGAGUGUCAUGUACAUUAAAUAGAAUGUCAUAUAAGUAUAAUUGCUGACUUGGCAGGGUCAUUAAAUAAAAGAGUUUUAUGAGAUGAGAGAGAAGUUUCAUCCCCAUAAAACUCUUGUGGCUCGGUUACCUAGUUUAUAGUAUUGGUAACUGUGUCAUAAAACUAUACUACAUUGAGACUGGCCUAAGCGCGUUCCCAAUGGCGCUACAAUCAGCUAGCUAAGAGGAACAUCUGCCCAAUCCAGAAGAAAGAGAAACGAAGAACUCAUCUCGCUAGCGACGAACCAAGAGCUUAGCUCGCACAUUUUUCAAAAAAAUUUCACUCACUGACAUACUUUACCACUAUCUACUUUUUAUUAUUUAAUUGUUCCCGGGCUCCAGAUCAGCUAGCUAUUCAAAAAGAGUAUUGAGGACGCCCUAAGGCUCCGUUCGGUUAGCAGGGAAUGACAUCCUAGAAAAAUUCUAGCCGUAGGCUUAAUUUGUAUACAGAAAGCAAUCUGGAAUGAAUCCCAGGUCUGGAAGAAGCUAACCGAACGAGCCCUAAUAGUGCUUUAGACAUGUAUCUGCCUGAUAAUUUUUUCUCUCUUUUCAACAUACUUCCUCCAUUUCAAAUUAUAAUUUACUUUGAUUUUUUAUUCAUCCAUUUUCUAUGCAUGUGGACAUAAUAUUAUUAUAUCUAAAUAUAUAAUAAAUUAGAUAUACCAAAAAAUUAAAAGCAACUUACAAUUUAAAAAAGAGAAAAUACUUCGUAGGCAGUAGAUCGAUGCACAGCUUUUCUUCUAAUCACGGCAAAGCUCUUGCCAUCCCUUCUAAAAAUGCACGCGUGCACACACACAUGUAUAUUUAUCUCUAUAAAAACAUAUUCGAACUUUACCUCUAAAACUAUUUUUAAAAGAUUAUAUGCUAGAUAGCCAACAACGGACCUGGGAUUUUGUCAAAGGAUAUGACGUACACAAUUUUACAUGUACUUUAGUGAAAUUCAUUUAGCAAUUCAGUGCAUAAUUAUAAUCACACUCUACAAUUUAGGUAUAUAAAUAUUAAAUAAUACACUAAGUUAUAAAUUCAACAAACUAAUCUUGAUAAUUCCAUAUUAUUAUAAUACAAAAGGUUAAAACCCAUCCUAGGGGCGUCCUAGUGGACUUUGAUCAAAUCGUCUGUGAUAUAGACAACGGAACAAAUAAAAAAAAGAGAAGCACUAAAGAUGUGAAACAUGCGAAGAACAGAGAUGUAGACACGCGUUUUAUGUGUAAAUCAGCGCAAGUUCAUUUCUUGUAAUCUCUCUCUUAUGGAUAGUACUAGUACACAAAUUAUUUCUCACUAGCUAUUUGAUACCCGUUGGAGACACCUAAAUAUACAUAAAAGAAUGUUACAAUAUGACGAGUAUCUAAAACCUGAAUUGCCUAAACACAUCACUAAAUACCACAACAAUGACUUAACUCUUAGCUGAUUCUCCCGGCCAGUUAGGGGCUCAAGGCGAGAGCUACACCCGGAGAAGGGCGCCAUGUAGCGAAAUUUUCAAGUGCAAUAUUAUAAUUUGUGUUCUAUUGUAGGAUGAAGCUAAAGUGCACACACCAUUCGUUAAUAUGUAAGGUAUAAAAAUAAAUAAAUAAAUAAAAAUAAAGCUAACUUUUAUCUAACUAGUAUUCACCUCCUGUAUGCAAUACCCUAAGCUUGGCAUUAUUUGUUCAACUUAUCGAGAUGAUACAAAUUUCUCAGCUCAAAGGAACACAUUGAGUUUUUUUUUUUUUGAGCAACAAGGAACAUGUUGAGCUCACAAACCCUAUUUGUUCUGAUGCAUAUGUGUGUGCAGGCGCAGAGCGAGAAAUUAUAGAUAGGGGGCAGCUGAAAAAAAAAACAACUUGCAAAAACUGAGUGUGGCUCAACUCGUUAGGUUUUUUUUUAUGAUUGUCUCAGUUAAUUCAUCAACUUGAUAUGAUUGCUAACCUUUUCUUAUAUGUAUUAAGACCCUAUUCUUUUAGUGGUCUUAAGUUUGACUAGGUUUCUCAAAAAUAUUUAGUUUAAAUAAAAAAUAUUUGACUUCUUGAAAAAUGAUAGUGACACUUUUUAUUAGAUGAAGGGAGUAGAUGUACUAAUAGGUGUAUAUAUAUUAAUUUGUUAUAUUCUUUCACUUGAUAUAAAUAGAAUUUUAAUAUUGCACUAAAAAUUAUUAUCCUAGUAAAAAAAUUAUUGUCACAUGUUUGGGGGGUAUGGCCCCUACCGACCUCCCUUGGCUCCACCAUUGAGUAUGUAAUAAGAAAGAUCAAAUUUAGUGGGAAAUACUACUUAACAAGGUCAAGAAGCGUCAUGCAAAAGCGCAGGCCCAAGUCAGGUAAAGAGAGUUCCACCCCUUGACGACGCUCACCAUCAGUCCGCCCAACUCCACAAUGCACGCGGUUAUGUGUCAACCAAGUGCAAGUUUUAGGGUGCUGCAAAUUAAUAGAUGGAUCUCAUGUAGGAAAGAAAAAGGAAAUUGUACUCAUUUCAUUCUAAAUUAUACCCCCUCUAUGCACAAAGGAUAAAAUGAUCUUUUCUUGAUAAGUUAAGUUAAUGAAUCUCAAAUUUUACUAAUAAAUAUAAAAAAUAUUAAUAACUAUGAUGUUUUCCUUUAUAGUUGCAUAAAUUUUAUUAUACAUCUAGAUAUGUAUUGAUUAACGAUUUACAAUUUAAAACGGAUGGAGUAUUAACUAACGAAAAAUGUGUCUUGCGAGUGACGGUGUUACUGAAAUGCGUGCUUUGAAGUGUUCCACUUGGCGUCUUGCCUAAUUGCCUGCAUAUAUACGCGCGUGAUCACCCUGCCUUGAUGUUCAAGCCAUUGUGCAGUCAUAGUACAUUGAUAGCGUUUGAAGAAAAGUUAUGCUAGAAGCAUAGAUGGGACAUCAUAUCGAGAGUGUGAGACACUAAGGUGUGGUUUGGUUUAGGAUUGGCAAUGCCAACGAUAAUAAUCAAAAUUACAGAGCAAGGGAUAUUGGCAUUUGAUUAGUUGGUGGGACCGAUGACCUGCUUUGUUGAUUUUUCUUAUGAGUCGAGACUUCCACGGACAUGAAGAAAGAUUCGCAAGGGCGAAUCCAGAAUAUUAUGUCACUGGGGUCAAGGACUAAACAACGGGGUCAAACACAUGUUCAUUGUCUAUUUGAAAGAAUAAUUUGCAGGUGAAUUAAAGAGGUUUAAGUGAUUUUUUGGUAAAUUAUCGGGGUCAGCUGACCCUAAUGGAUGCAAUAGAUUCGCCUCUAAAGAUUCACUUGAUAUAUGUGGAUUGAUACGAAUCCAGCUAAAUUCAAAUAAAAACCGUAAUCAGUACGAGUUGGAUCACUCAGACGCAUUAUACAAUGUUAUCUGUUGAUCCCGUGAACAGAUGACGGCUGAAAAGGCCCAACCAAAAAGGAGAUGAGAUGCCACUGUAGCAUCUGGUUGCUACUACAUACGGCAUGGAUUUGAGGUGCACGGAGUUUCCACCUUUAUCUGGCUAAUCACUAGACAGUGUAGGCGUUUUGCCUUUCUUGUUCUCUAUCUCUCUCUCUCAAAAAAAAAAAAAAAAAUUACGUCAACUUCGAUCUCCUAGAGAAUUACGGAGUAGUACGUACCAAAUUGCCUCAAGCCUUGACUUUGCAGCGGCGAGGUCAUAAGUACGUACUACACCUAUGAAGCGGAAGAAUUGUUCCGUACUGGAGUACUACUACUAAGGACUUUGUAAGAAUUUCUUUGGUCCAAGUUGGUUAGCCGAGAAAUAUCGUACUCCACUCUCUUCGUAUAGAAUUUAGAUAUUGUUUUAGAUAAAAUUUAAAUCAAACAUUAAAAAUAUAAAUCCUUAAUAACUUUUAAGUUAUUAAAUUUGUAAAUAUAAAAACUAUAUGAAUAGAUUUGUCUUAAAAAAAUACUUUCAUAAAAGUUUUCUAAAUACUUUUAUAAAAAUAAGAGAUCAAAGUUGUGUUUUGAAAACCGUGUCGCUGUCCUAAAUGAUAUCUAAAUUCUAUACGGAGAGAGUACUUUUUUUUGCGGGCCCUUGAUCUUGAUCUAGAGAUAAAAGAUAUGUUGUUAGGCCUUGUUUAGUUUCCCAUCCAAAAUUUUUUUAUCCAUCCCAUCGAAUCUUUGGACACAUGCAUGGAACAUUAAAUAUACAUAAAAAAAUAAACUAAUUAUACAGUUUGGUUGAAAACCGCGAGACGAAUCUUUUAAGCGUAAUUACUCCAUGAUUAUACUUAAGUGCUACAGUAACCCACAUGUGCUAAUGAUAGAUUAAUUAUGUUUAAUAGAUUUGUCUUGCAGUUUCGUGACGAGUUAUGUAAUUUAUUUUUUAUUAAUGUCUAAAAACCCCUCCCGAAAUCCUUCUGACACAUCCGAUGUGACAACUAAAAAAUUUUCAUCUCCAAUCUAGGCCUUGUUUAGAUAUGAAAAGAUUUUGGAUUUCGCUACUGUAGCAUUUUCGUUUGUUUGUGGCAAAUAUUGUCCAAUUAUGGAUUAACUAGGAUCAAAAGAUUCGUCUCACGAUUUACAGUUAAACCGUGUAAUUAGUUUUUAUUUUUGUCUAUAUUUAAUGCUUUAUAUAUGUGUCGAAAGAUUCGAUGUGACGCGAAAUCUUGAAAACUUUUUGGUUUUCGGGGUGAACUAAAUCAAGGCCUAUACAGGGCCUGGCCCUGUCCGGGAGCGAGAAGCGUACAAAGCCGGCGCUGUCGUUGGGCGGCGUGACGCUGCCCCGCCCGACUGGGACAUAAAAAGAUUCCCAUGCAAUCCAUUCGUUUUGUGGUCCAUGGAUCAGCUUCGCGUCACGACUCACGAGAAAGCCUAGUACACGAUGACACGAAAUCUCUCAUCCCACCCCCUUUCUCUAUCCUUUGACUUGGCACGUCGUCGUCACAUGUGGCAUGGUCCAUGGUCGCUGACGAUUCCUCCUCCAUUCGUGAACACGAUGCCGCACGUCCGUGUCCGCCCGCCCCGCCGCGCGCGCGCGCGCUGUGCAGCCCCGGCCGGCAGCAAAAUGGACCGACGAAUGGAAUAAUCGAAUCUCUCAACCUCUGCUGCCCAUGCAUGACCAUGAUCCGUCCUUAGCUCCACGUGUUGGUACGGUGGUGCGUGCGCGCGCCGCGAUGCGAGGCUAUCCGGUUCGUUGCCGGUUAUCCAACCCCCAAAGCAGGGAACCUUUACCCGCUUCCACUGGUCGACAGGAAAGCAGUCUCUCCUUUCUCUCCAUGUACGGCGGCGAAUUGGUGAUCCACGCCGCCAUGCAACGAAAGAGCAUGUAGCCAUGUAGUACACGUACAUGCAGCGAUCGAGCAGAUCGAAUCGUAGAAAGGCAUAUAUAUAUAUAUAUAUAUAUAUAUAUAUAUAUAUAUAUAUAUAUAUAUAUAUAUAUAUAUAUAUAUAUAUAUAUAUAUAUACCAAAGCGAACGUAGUGAUCUUCUGUCUAUAUAUCGAUGAGCAUAUAUUCCAGCCAGAUGCUAAUAUAUCCGUAAUCCGUCCGAUUACAAAUAUACUCUUAUAUAUCUGUCCAGAUAAGCUAGCUUGAAAGCUUGUUCGAUUAAAUUUAUUAGCUGAAUCUGCUAUGGCCAAUUCGUACAGUACUACGUGGCUUCUCAAGAGGUCGACAAGUGUGCACCGGCAUCGAUACCCCUGCUGGGUGACUGGUGGGCGCGUGACUUCCAAGGCCUUGUUUAGUUCAACUCAAAAAGCAAAAUCUUUUCAAAAUUUUCGUCACAACGAAUCUUACGUCAUAUGUAUGGAGUAUUAAAUAUAGACGAAAAUAAAAACUAAUUACACAGUUUACCUGUAAAUCACGAGAUGAAUCUUUUAAGACUAGUUACUCUAUGAUUGGAUAAUGUUUGUCAAAUCAAAACGAAAAUACUACAGUUUCGAAAACUUUUCAGUUUUCGGAACUAAACAAGACCCAAAUCAGCAACAGCAGCGCAGCAUAUGCUACUACUACUGGUGGAGCCACACGACACGCGCAUGCAGUUACGUUCCAGCUAGCAGAGGAGUCCGAGUGGGGUGGUGAGACUGAGACGACCCCGCCCGCCGCCCGCCGGUGAGGUGGCGGUGGAUACUGGUUACUGGAUAGGCUUGUAAAAAGCGGAGCGGCCGGCUGUGGCUUUCCAUCCCCCCUGUCGUUCGAGUCGCCGUUUCUGACUCUCCGUGCAACUGCAACGAGCGCCGCAUGCAAAAGCGCUGGGGCGUCGGCGAGCAGAUUCUGUGGCUGGCCUGGCCCUGGCGCACGUUGGAUUUGGGUCAGAGAUAUAUACGGCCCGCCGUGUGCACGCCAACUGAACGAAGCUGUACACUACCUCUUUGCUUCGCUUCAUUUUUUUUUAAUUUGGCUCUACUAUACUAGUCUGAUCUGAUCUGAUGAUGAUCGUUGAGCCGCUGGCCAAAUACGGAGUAUAUUUAGGGGGUGUUUGGUUCGGGUGGUAAAGUUUAACAGGUACUGCAGCAGUUUCGUCUUAUUUGAUAAUUAUUAUUUAAUUAUGAACUAAUUAGGCUUAAAAGAUCUGUCUUUCAAAUUAUUCUUUAGCUAUAUUUUUAGUUUUAUAAAUAAUCUAUAUUUAGUAUUCUAUAUAUUCGUCCAAACAUUCAAUGUGACGGACGAUAAACUUUAACAGACCAAACCAAACAAAGCCUUAACAUACGACUAUUCGUUGUGCAAUUAUUGUUGGAGAUUCAUCGUUUUCCGUCGAGGGGGGCGAACCAGCAGAUUCGGCACAGCCUCGCAACAUCCAAAUCUUUGAAAGUCGUUAUCCAAAAAGAUAUAUCCAAAUCUUUGAAAGAAAGUACGAGCGUACCUUUGAGGAGAAACCUUCCAACACCCCCCUCUUUAUUUAAGAAUAAUGGACGUAUGGCCUGUUUAGAUUUGAAAAUUUUUGGUCUAAAUAGAAAAUUUUUUGUGGAAUUGGGGCCUGAGAAGUAAACGGGGCCAAAAAAUUUUGAGGCCAAAAUUUUAUACUGCAACUGUGCACGCACUCCCAUGAAAGCCCACCAUUGACAACAUGCAGUUGCAGUUGUUAUUGGUGGGCUUCCAUAGGAGUGCGUGCACAGUUACAGCCCAAAAUUUUGGUCCCAAAAUUUUUUGGCCCCGUUUACUUCUUAGAUCCCAAUUCCACAAAAAAAUUUCUCUUUGGGACCCUAAAUGUAACGAUAUAGUAUUAGUGAGAGCAAUAAGAUGUGUCGCUACAUGCCCAUUAGGAACUAAUUAAACUUCAAGUUUGAUGUAUUGAUUAAUGCAAUUGUUUCUUUUGUUAAACAUGCGUCGUGCAUGCAUUUAUCGGCAGUGACGUCAUUAACCUCAAAAUGGUUCGGUAUCCUGCAACAUGCAACCACAUCAUAUGGCGGAUUGUUUGAUACACAAUGGUGCAAUAUUCUAGAAUUCCUAUAAUAUAUUUCAAGACGAAGAGAGUCAUAAAGAAGAAGAUGGAAAUGACUUGGAUAUAUAUUUUUUUUAUUUCAGGUUCUUUCCUAUUUAAUUUGAGAUGUUCUAUGUUGUUUUUUUUAGAUGUUCUAUGUUGAGUUGUAAUAUAAUUUUAUAUCUUCUUUGAAAAAAUAAGGCUCAAUAUCGUUAUUCCUCAUGGGAAUUCGGAAUAUACCUCUUGUAAUAAACGAUGGGAGAAUGUUGAGAAGACAGGCUGACGAAACCAAAUAUGGGCCAGGUCGUGUGAUGAACCUCAUGUUGGCCGAAACGACCUCGUUCUCACUUUUUUUUUUUGCACAUUCUCGUGUUCCGUGCAGCAAUUGGCCCAGUUACAUGUUUCGAGCAAGUCGCCCAGUUACAUGUUUUUGGGCAAAUAGCCCAAUUGCUUUUGUUGUUUGGAUUCUCUCAUAGGAGAAGUCUAUUUUGGAUCAUCCAAAUUAAUGUCUCUCAUGUUUGUUUUUAACCAUCUUAACUCUAGGAUCAGAAAUCUUUAACCAUCAAACAAGAAAUUUGGCCAUUUUUAAAAUCGUGCUAAGAUGGGUUUGUAUUCUCUAUAAAUAAUAAAAAUUCUUUGUUUUUUAGAAAUCAAUAACUAAAUAUAUUUUAAAUCUUAAUACUCCCUGCGUCUAUGAAAGAAUCAAUUCCUAAAAUCCGUGUCAGUCAAAUUUUUUUAAGUUUGACUAACUUUAUAGAAAAGAGUAACAACAUCUAUGAUAUAAAAUACGCAUAAUGUGAAAAUAUAUUCUAUGAUGAAUCUAAUGAUACUAAUUUGAUAGCAUUUUUUUCUAUAAAUUUAUUCAAAAUUUAAAAAAUUUGACUUAGAACAACUCUAGAAAUUGACUCUUCUGUGGACGAAGGGAGUAUAUUACUAGCAUUCAUUUUUUCUUCUAAAAAACAUAAUUUAUUUGUUGUUCCUUUAUUUGAGUUAUUUGUGAUUUAUGUGUUUCUAUUACUGCUUUUUAUUGCUUUUAACCAUGUCCUAUACUAUUAAAAGUGUUAUUUUGCACAGGCCUUGUUUAGUUCAUCAAAAAAAAAAAUUCAAGAUUCUUCGUCAUAUCGAAUCUUGCGGCACAUGCAUGGAGCAUUAAAUAUAGAUGAAAACAAAAACUAAUUGCACAGUUUACCUGUAAAUUGCGAGAUAAAACUUUUAAGCCUAGUUAGUCAAUGAUUGAACAAUAUUUGUCAAAUAAAAAUAAAAUGCUACAGUACCCAAAAUCAAAAAAAUUUCAAAACUAAACAAGGCUACAAGUAAAACUGAAGGUCUAGAAAAUGGCACAUCCUCGCAGGUGCCACACUCACCUUAUAUUGAUCAUAUUUUGGAAUUGCAUCUAAUAUGCCAUUGUUGAAACUGAAUCUUAAACAAAUCUGGAGCUCUAUUAGACCCUCAAAUGGACAUCUCUGAUCUCAUCAAAUGGACAGCAUCUGUCAUGAUGAGUUUACGGGACUAUUCAAGUCUUUUAUCCUUAAUAUUAAUGGAACAUUUCUUUAGACGUCUUCUAUCAUGGCAUGGAGAGAGUAACCUCUCACUACGAGGCACAUAAGGUAAUCACAUCUUUUAUGUACUAAAGAUAAAUAAAUUUUGAGUUUUUAACUAAUUAAUCUGUAUAUACCCAUACUCAUUUUUCGUGCAGUAGUUUUUUUUUCCUGUCCUCUUCAAUCGAGAAGGUGACAUUUAGGCCUUGUCUAGUUCCAAAAAAUUUUAUAAUUUUUUUCACAUUUCUCGUCACAUCGAAUCUUGCUACACAUGUAUGAAACAUUAAAUAUAAAUUAAAAAAAAACUAAUUACAUAUAAUUUGCGAGAUGAAUCUUUUGAGCCUAUUUAAUUUAUGAUUGGAUAAUAUUUAUCACAUACAAACACGAAAGUGGUACAAUGCGCAUUUCUAAAAAAAUUUUAAAAAGUAAACAAGGCCUUAAUGAAAUGACACUUUUAAGGAUCAGUAAUGUUUCGAAAAUUUCCGAUAGGCCUUGUUUAGUUCCGAAAAUUUUUGAGAAAUGGACACUGUAGCAUUUUCGUUUGUAUUUGACAAAUAUUGUCCAAUCAUGGACUAACUAGGCUCAAAAGAUUCGUCUCGUCAAUUUCGACCAAACUAUGCAAUUAGUUUUUAUUUUCGUCUAUAUUUAAUACUCGAUGCAUGCGUCUUUCCUGUAAACAAGGCCAUAGUCAUCGGGGCCAUUUCCAUUCCACUCCAGCGGAGCGGACGCCACGCGGGCGUCGGCCGCGACGCGACAAGACCGACCGACCGACCGCCGCGCCAAACAGAAAAACCACGGCACCACGCAAACGCUGCCGCCGACGACGCGCGGCACCACCGCACGGACGCGACCACCGAUCCGAUCCCAACCAGCUCGUCUCGGCUCCCGCCCCGCCCCACUCUCAGAUCCGCGGAUCCCAAAUUCCGAGUCCAUUUCGGCACCCACCCUGCCGAGCCACCCGCCUCGCCAUGGCGGACUGCCGCAGCCUCAUCGAAUUCCUCCGGGCCUUCGAGCAGCACCGGCGCCGCGCCUCCUCCUCGGACGCUUCCUCCCCGCGCCCCCGCCGCGCGUCCCUCUCCUCCUCCUCCUCCUCCUCCACCACCACCGCCUCGCGGUCGCGAUCGCGGGGCCGGCUAUUCCCCGCCCUCUGCGACCAUUCCGCGCUGGCCGCGGUCGACGCGCUCGCGCUCCUCGCGUCGCUCGCCGCUCUCGCGUUCCUUGCAGCGCCCUACGCGCGGCUGCUGGCUGUCGAGGCGCGGGACGCGGUGGCCACGGUGGCGACGCGCCACCCGGCGGCGCCGUGCGUGCCACUGGCCGCGGGCGUGGCGGCUGGGGCCGCCGUGCUGGCGUGGGACGCCGCGUCGCACCGAGCGCGCCGGUGCGGCAGGCCCCGGUGCCGCGGCCUGCGCAAGGCCGUGGAGUACGACAUCCAGCUCGAGACGGAGGAGUGCGUGCGCGGCCUGCUGCCGCUUUCGCACGGCGUAGGAGGCGGGGCCGCGGCCACGUGGCCAGUGGCGGGGCUUGGGGACGAGCACCGGGAGCUUGAGGCGGUGCUCAGGAAGAUGGCGCCGCCCAAUGGCCGUACCGUGCUUAUCUUCCGUGCGCCGUGCGGGUGCCCAAAAGAGAGGGUGGAGGUCUGGGGCGCUAAGAAGGUGCGCCGGAUGAAGAAGUAGGGAAGCCAUGAAGAACAAACAGCUGAAGGCUCUCCUCCUCCCAUGGCGAAAUAAUGAGCGAAUAAUUGGCGUGACUGCUCCAUCUCAGAUAACUACAGUUUCUACGUACAUGAUAGUAUUACAGUUCCCUGCUAUUCUAGUCUCUUGUAGGAAGCAUAAUGUGCUCACGGAGAGGAAUAAUUGUGGAGGUAGAUACAAUGUCAUCAGUGGAUUAUGCAAUAAGUGGUUGUUGCCUAUUGGGUAUAUAAAUAAGCGCAGCAGAGACAAAUCCUUUUUUUUCUUACUUAAUUAAAAACUUGCUAUAUCGUCUAACGACCUACUUAUCCAAUAUGCUGGUUUUGUCGUGUUACUAGGAAAUGAUUACUAACUACUAAGGGGGAUGGCUGUUUGGAGAAAUUGCUUUCAUUCAUAUAGUCCUAUUGUGCCAAUGGAUGCUUCUUAUCUAAAAUGUUAGCUAUGAGGGGUAGCAGUAUUCCAUCUGUACUGGUGUAUAAUCUCCCCCUGUUUGUUUCAAGCUGUUCUGAACUAAGAGUUUAGAAUGUUAGGUCUGCGAUGUCACACAUAGUUUAUGCCAGUAGAUUGAUUUUGCAAUGCUAUUUGAGAUGACUCGUUUCUUUCUGGUCCUUUUCUCACUGCUUGACCUUGGAAAAAUAGUGCUCUUUAUGUUGAUGAAUAUUCCUCCAUUUGUUUCUCUUGGUUUCUUAAUAAUACCACUGUUCAUUUUGUUGCUAUUAUCUUCUUAUCGUAGUGUUCUGAAUCUUAUGGACUCUAAUUUCGUUGAUGCUAUUUGUCUGGGUUCUUACGUAUACUGUUUACGCAUUGUUAUUUUCCUUAGUUUUGAGUAAACUGCUGAUGGCCCAAAGCGAAUACCAUUUCUGUACGCUAUACUAAAUACCUAAAAACAUAAAUGAUUCCUCUUGACCUACAUUUGAUCAUGUAUCAAUACUUCAAUGUUGGAAGAAAUUAUUUGUAACUUCAUUUCUUCACUUAUAUCAUGUUACAUAUUAUCAGCUCCAGCUGAAGCCAUUCAAGUCAAAAUGUCUGUAAGCUUGAUCAGUGUCAUCGACAUUGUGGGUGUUCAGAUCAAGUUUCUUCCCAGAGCACGGAUGCUCAAAAUCUACUAGCUUGCUUUCUCUGGGGUAUUCAACUGCCUGUCUUGCGCAGUUUUGUUCUUCCAGAUAUAGCUUCUCUGCAUCUACUUUGCUUCCUGACGCCGAACUGGUGGUGCUACCUCCACCAUUCUUUUGAGGUUCAGCAUACUCAUGUGCCAUUUCUGUGUCACUUUCAUACCCAAACUCUGCUUUACUGUAUCCUUCCUCAUUCUGCAAAUGAGCCAUCCUACGCUCACUUAGGCUUCUGUUAAGGGCAAACUGGGUCUCAUGUUCAUGAGAUCUUUUUCUGCAAAAUAAUGAACUAUCAUCAUAUGCUUUUAGUACUCCAUGGUGCUGUAGUCUGUGCUCCUUGAUGAAUCCUUCAGCCACAGACAAAUAACUAUUUGUUGAACUUUCAACAAACUGGAUUUGUCUGGGCUCUAAUCUAUGCACACUUGAACUUCCUUUUACAUCUGUAAUCGCAUUACUGAAGCAUUCAGUUGAUACUUGUGAAACUAACUCUGAUAUUUUUAUUUUUGCAUCUUCCAGGUUUGCAGGACCCAAAUUCUGUUUUCCAAGUGUCUCUUGUGCCUGCUCCAAAACUGCCUGCAGGUAUUUCCCUUGGGCUUCAAUUCGUAGUUGUAGAUGCCUUUGCACCUGUUUCCAGUUUAAAUUUCAGAUCAGAAUCACUGCAGCACAACUCCAUUUUAUAGACACUAUAAAUGGGACUUUGCUGGACCUUUAAAAAGUUUGGACUCCAAUAUUGUGUGUACGAAGCCAUAGAAAAUAAUUUAGGAUGCCACCCCUCACAAUCAUGACCCUGAACCCUGCACUUCUAUAGGCUGCCUAAUGAUCACACAGAAGAGACUGAGGUGGUUGGCACUGUGUGAUCGAAGGGAAACCCUAUUUGUAGAAGACGAGCAGGAGAAAGAAGCCUAUAUGCGAGAGAAACCAGACUAUUAUGGUUUGCUAUUCAAGCAUGCAGCUUCAAGAUCACUAAUUGAUUCAACGGUCAUCAUCUAUGUCGGACAGAGUGCACAAGUGCACUUGGGCCAACAAGAGGCAGCAGGCUGACAAAACAUGGGAGGUGCGAGGAGGACAGCUUCACUUUAGCUCUGUCCUAAGUCAAACUUACUUUCACUGACUUAUAUCAUGGAGCAUUUGAUGAAACUGCUUUGAUAUUGUAGAUGUUGAUGCAUUUUUCUAUAAACUUGGACAAAGUUAGAGAAGUUUGACUUAAGCAUAGCUAAAGUGAACUAUAAUUUGGAACGGAGGGACCAUAUGAAGGCUGCAUGCCAUCUGAUAAAGAUUGUGGGCUUGCAUUAAUGGGAAUUUUCAUCAAACAUUUAGAAGUUCAAUAAUAGAAUUGGUGUUUGAGAGAUCUGUUUUCAUGUUUGAUUUUUUAACAGACUAUUUGUUUCUUCACCCUGUAAUAACUAAUGGCUAUGUGCAUCUCUUGACUCAGCUUAAACAACCUUAUUGCUUAAUCUAAAAUUGUAAUUAGCUUGUACUCCCUCUGUUCCAAAUUGCAAGUCAUUUUAGCUUUGUCCUAAGUCAAAAAAUUUUUAGCUUUGAUCAGGUUUGUAGAAAAAUGUAUUAAUAUCUACAAUACCAAAUAAAUGCACUGUAAUACAAUCAAAAUAUAUUCAUGGUGCAUUUAAUGAUUCUCGUUUGAUGAUGUAGAUGUUUGUACAUUUUUCUAUAAACUUAGUCCAAGUUAGACAACUUUAACUUAGGACAAAACUAAAACGACUUACAAUUUGAAAAAAGGGGAGUAUAUACAUAUUAUACCUACUAACUAUGUAUUUUUGGCUAAAAAUAUUGGGUCUACAUUUAUACACCCUUGCCAUUGUAAUGUAAAUGUUCGGUUCUGAAUCAGAUCCGGAUUGUAAAUUAUUUUGUCAUCGAGGUAGUAAUUUGGAAUUGUGGUCUUCCCUUAUGCUCUUCCGAAAGUUUGGGACUGUACUAGCUAAAAUGCUUGAGAUAGUCCACUGUUCAACCUACCUUAUCUACCACGUGAAAAAUCUGGAACAAGAAUGUUAUCUUAGCGGUGUCAGUGACUCACCUCAAGUUGUUCAUUUAGCUGCCUCUGAACCUCAAUUUGCAUCUGAAGUGCUUCACCAAUUUGAAUAGUCCUUGCACCCAGGAAAAGAGACUAUUAUUUCAGUAUUCAGAUUAUAUACAAUUACAGUGUGUUAUCAGAGUCCUUACUUCUCUGCCUGUGGAACGACAUUUGUACUGCUCAUUGUAGCUGCGCUUGUUCCAGGAAUCCUAUCAGCAACGGAUGUACAUCCUAUGGCUGCCAAGCGGUUACAAGUUGCUAACUCUUAUGCUGUUCCAUUAUGAUAGUAAAUAUAGGAAUUACAACUUGUUCUUACCAUUCUUUGAUGUACUGACAUUUGCUUGAGCUUGGAGGUUCUUGCUAAGCCUGUAUUUCUGUAACAUCCAAAAAAUGAUGGUUACUGCAGCAGUUACAAAGUUACAAAUAUCAUUUUUAGCAGGUGGAUUUCUGAUUCUGAAGUACCUGGAGAUGGCUUUUCAAAUGGUACAAGGUGAGUCCUGGAAUUCCCAUGAGCCUCAUGACUGUUUUUGGAGUAGCUUCUGGGUGAUGAAUAGAAAUAUAAGAAUUCAGCUGGUCUCUGUACUUUGAGAAGAUAUAAGAGUGUUGUACUUACUCUCUGCUCCACCUAAUUGAUUGACUGCAUCUACAAAUCGCUGAUGUAACUCAGGUGUCCAUUUCAGCCUUGGUUUAGCGUCAGUUGAGAGAACCAGCCCAGAAUCUCCUUGGGCAUUUCCUCCACGCAAAAACAGAUGCUGCUCCAUUGGAAAGGAUGUUCUCGUGGUGAAGAGCUCACUCGGGCCCUGAUGUUGGUGAUACAUCUGCUGUAGAAAUGACAUGCAAUUUCUAAGAAGUUAGGUUAAUGAGACCAAGGGGGGGGGGGGGGGGGGGGGUUCUGAAUUUUCCUAACCUUUGUGGCCUGUGUUUUCCAGUGUCCUCUUUUCUCUGUUCCCAAAGGCUGAAUUUGUGUUGGAGUGUUUCGUGUUGACAAACUCAAACGCCCUCUUGUCCGACCUUAAGCCUUUUGAUACCCUUUCGACCUUCUCAGGUUGAUAAGGAGUGCCUUAUGAGGUGCGUUUUAUAUGGGAAAACAUAGAAUCUAGCAUCUUGGAACAAACGUCAAAAGAACAACCUUUAAGCCUACUAAGAGAAGAUGCUAGCUUUAGUAAUUUUGGAAUCAAUAACCAAAAUCAAUUUUUUUUCAUUUUGAAUUUCAACCUGUGACUUCUAUGUAUGUUAACACCUUACUUUUCUAGGUGUAUUUUACUGAUUUAGAACACUUGAAGUGUCUGUGGCAUGUGUAGAGAUAAACACGAACACCUAUAGAUAAAGCAAAUUAUACUUUUAUGUAGCUUUCUGGAAUAUGAUUCUGCUAUCUGAUCUGUUCAGUUUAUAAAAGAUGCACUUCUGAAUUUAUGCCUCAUGAAUGACCAGAGAAAAAUAUUUGAGUAGUUUCUCUAUACUGCCAGCUGGGGGUAGUUUUGCUGGUUUUUACAAAUGGUUCAGUCUUGCUGCACUUCGGUACAUGAUUUAAUUAUUAUUAUUUAUAGUGGAAUCAGAUGCAGUCUGGGUUAAUUUUGUUUAAGCCACACAUUGACACUUGUCGUUAUCUUGUUGGGGACGCUAUUCUACUUACAGAAACAUAGUUUUUCUAUCAAAUUGAUUCUGUCCGUUGUAUUACUUUAAAGUGCAUGGAAUAUGAACAAGAAUAAGUUCCGUCAGCGUCCUUUCCUAAGAUUGGUACAUAUUCACAUUGCAGUCCAGGAAAGUUUCGGCCAUGAGAUUUAUGCUCUUUAUGUGGGAUAAGCUCCUUUUGAACAAGACCCUUUGAUUGUAAUCAUCAGUAGUCAAAGCAAGAGUACUUACGUACUAUGUUUCUGUAUAUGUUACACAAUAACACAACCACCCUUUCAGACUUUUGCUACCAUAGAUAACCAGUUCAUUACAAUCAAGUUUCUUUAGCUUACCAAGCUUUAAGGGACCGAAACACUUGUAGUCAAUGUCAGUCUAGGUCCUCCCCAUUUUUAAUUUUAAAAAAUACAGUAACAUACAAUUUUUAUUAAUUCAUGUUCUGUCAUCAAGGGAACUGUUUCUAGCUUUUCUAGACUUAGUUCCAUUAUCUUCUUGAAACCAAAAGCGAAGCAUGUAUGAAUUUUCCACAUGUCAGCAUUUUUUGUUUCUAUUUAUAUGCUCUUGAUUCUUGAGAUAUAUAAGGAAUAAGAUUAAGUCUUUUCCUGAGAACUGAGGACUUUCGUUUCAUGUACUCAAUUUAACUGGCAGUUCGCUGUGUUUCUACUCCACCCCUGUACAAUAUUUGGUUGGUUGAAGUGACUCAUUAGGACCAUACUAAUAACAUAUGUUGACAUUGAAGAACAGUAGUAAGAAUUUUAAACGGACAUAAUUCAAGUUCGCCACUUAAGAAAAGGAAUUCCAGGAACUUAUUGCUGUGUCCGGUGUCCCUUCCCAUUUAGGGCUUCUUCUACAGUCAUGGGGAAUUGUAACCAUAACUUCCCUAUUCUAUUAGUUCUUUUCAAUAGAUUAGAAACCUCAUAAAGUUUUUGGAAGAAUGGGCCAAUUUGGAAUGUUUGGUAAUUUUCUCAUGAUAUUUGUGACACUAAGACCUAUUUUUUUUGAAAGAAUGACACUAAGACCUAUUGAUUAUACCAUUUGCGGCAUCAUUGUUUUUACUGAGUUUGUGUUGAUGACUUGAGCACGAAACACAUGUUUAUUUUUCUUGCUGCAGUAUACUUUUUGUACUCAUCUCAUAAUUUAUUUUAUUUAUCCAUGCGCUGUACUUCUAUUUUUCUAGCAACAUGUACUUAUCAGAUAGCACAUGCUGUUUGAAAUGGAGGGUGGGCUGUCUAGCUAUCAGCAUAUAAAGAAGUCUUCGAUACAAGAAUCUAAAGCAUCAUCCUGUACCCUUCAUCUUUAACAAAGCAGCAUCACUUGUGGGGGCAUAUUCAGCUGUAAAGAUUGGUCCUGAUAGCAGUUCUAGAAUUGUAAGUUACAUAUAACAUGAAGUUUUCUGUUCUAGUUUCUACGAACUUCUUUUACAUGAGGCUUACCGGUUCAGUAGCAGGCACAAAGGCUUGUGCCGGAGUUGCUUGAACUAAGGAGUCAUGACCAGCACAGUGCACACGCUAAUUGUUAUUCAAAAACUGUUUUUUAAAUAUUAUUUAUGCAUCAUUUUUUUUGUCAACAAGAAAGUUAAGCAUGUUAGGUUAUAGGAAAUAUUAUCAAUGAACCAGCAUACUAUACCUAUUAAUUCUUAUUUAAUGGCCAUUUUCUUAAACCACAAGAUAUCUCAUGUAGAUGAUCAGAAGAAAGGAAGGGUAUAAGAGUGUUAACUGGUCCCUGGAAAUUCGGUGCUUUCAUUUUUUAAAAAAGAAAGAAAGCUAAACCUGAUAGAUUAUAGGAAAUACUAGUCUAUCUUGCGUGUAUUAUGCAUUUUAAUUGUCUGAUAAAUGGCUUGUCACAGGAAUAUAUGAUUGUUAUUCCUGCCUGUAGGAACCAUGUAGCACAAUCGAGUGAAGACUAAACAAAAUGCAAACAGUUAUGUGAUCGUAAUCUUAUAAACUUUAGCAUCCUUUCAUUAGAUUAAGUUAUUAUUUCUUAUCUGAAAGAUCUGUACUUGUAGAUAAUUGGCACUCAUCUUUAGAGCUGCAAAGACCUGUGAAAAAGCACAUAAUUAUCAGAAGUGAUCUUAUCUGGUUUGUCACAGGGGGCAACAAAAUAGAAGAAUGCGUGGAUGUACAAGUUAUACACCCAGUUAACUAUCCAGGACAGUCACCUAGUCGAUACCUGGCCCUAGGUUCAUCCGUCCCCCUAGCACCUAAUUUGCAGAUACCCUGCCUGUGUGCCAACUUAUCAUCGCUAUCACGUGUUAGGAACCACCUCGUCAUCUACCUAGCACCCACCACUUUUCAGAACAAAACUAGUUUGAAUAAUUGAUAUCAUACGAGUUCUGGUGGACUGGCGGAGUGUGCAUCUACAUGUGUGGCUAAGUUCCUCCUUAUAUUGACCUGCCAAGCAGCGUUUGACGGACCAAACCCAGACUGCUUGAUUUCUGAUGACCUAGGUUUGGCCUUCUGUAGUUUAGUAGCUUUGUCAUAUGACUGCACAAUUUGGAACAGUGUUUACCAGUAGUUAGUAUGACAUUGGCUGCUCAAAAUGGUCCGACACAAUUGCAACAAGAUCAUACAGUUUGGGUCUAGAAACCUUGUCUAUUGUCAUGGGUACACCGGUAAUCAAUUAGUUUCUUGUCCAAUUUUGAUCAUUCGAGAGAUAAAAGGCAGAGUAGCAACCAAUGAAAAUCAGUCAUGAAUAGGGCAACCCAAUUGCACAAGCAACUCAUUUAUUGAAUGGAGUCUUUGUCCAGACACCAUGAGCUCCAUGGACACAUAGAUUCUCGAUCUCAAACUAUCUCCUCGGCAUUGAUUCUUUUCUUGGUGUCCUUGGCAUGUAUUCAUCCUCAAGUUGCCUGCAUAUUUCCGGUGAGCUAUGCUUUUCAUCAAUAUGUAUUUCUCAUCAAUCCAUCUAAAUCUUUUUUUUUCUUAUUCUCAUCAGCGGCAUCCGAAUCUUGAUAUUCCUUGUGGAGCAAAGAAGCUUUCUGUGGCUUUCACAGAACAUAUGCUGCCUGAGUAUGAAAAUAAACUAUCGCGGCGGCGACUAUCCUACGCUUAGUGAUGGUUACUGUUCAGGGAUGCUCUUUGAGCAACUAGUCUACUCUAGUGGUUAUGUGAUGCUCUUGCAGUUCACAGGCAGCGAGGAGGCACCUGAAGGAUUCAUUCUUGAUAUGGUAUCUAAUGCAAAUUUGCACUAUGUUUAUAGCUGUACAUGUAUUAUGUGCGCUGAUGCUUUGUGCUAAUGGUUGGAUUUCUUUGAAGGAAAUCUGUGGUUAAAGUAAAUCAAAUUGAGGCGAUGAGGCGAACAUCUUUGAUAUUCUUUCCUUGGGAGCAUCGUUGGAGCAUAUGGCAUUUCUAGUCCUGGUCAGUGCUUUUGGUUUGCCCCUCUUUUCGAUAUUCCAAUGAUCAUAUUGACAUCAGUCGAUGUCACGAGCAAUAUUCCUCUAAGAAUUUGGGUAGUUCUGCCACAUUUCGCUUCCUGGUUUAUUGCAGGUGCUUUCUCGUUGUUUGCUUGCUGAACACAUGCUGCGCUGUAAACGAACGAUUAUCCUUUUGCUCUAUUUUUCAAUUCGUUACUAAUUAAUAUGCCGAUUGAAAUCAUACUUCCUAUUGUUUUCUGUACUUAUAUUAUCCGUCACAUAACAGUAAUUUUUUUUAACACUGAGCUUGGCUAGAGAAUUUUUGGACCAUGUUCCUCUAUUUGAUUCCACAGGUUCUUCGUUUGGAAGGCUUUUGCUUCGGCUUGGGAAAAGAGAGCUCAGGUCAGGUGAGAGGGGUGACCAUCUAGCACUACCAAUAUAGCUAUACUAGAGGUGCUAUUUCUGUUCCACCUUGCUAUUAGUUGUGUUAUACUCCCUCCGUUCCAAAAUAAAAGCAUUUCUGGUCCCAUUCUAAGUCAGAAUGUCUUAAUAUUUAUCACACCAAGGAACCAUGGAAAUUUUUUUUAAUGAUGGAUCUAUUGAUGCUUAUUUGAUAUUAUAAAUGUUAUCAUCCUUUUGUAUAAACAUGAUCAAACUAAUGAUAGUUUGGCUUGGGAUGAAACGAGAAAUGCUCGAAAUUUGGGAUGGAGGGAGGGCAGUACCAUACCAUGUGCUGCUGGCAGCUGGGUGACGAAGAAUACCCACUUCGACGACAAGUUCUGUCCUGUAAACACCUUGGAGUAGAAAAUAAGCUAAUAUGUCCAGAGUCUACACAUUUAUAUCUAGUUUGAUGUGUGUAUUAGCAGUGCACACAGAUAAUCAUAUUGUUUUUAAUACAUGUAUAAUUAUAAUGCCAGCCUUCUAUGACAAAUCUGUAGAGUUUUAUGCUGGCCUUUGAAGUUUGCAAGGCUUAUGUUCCAGGGAUGAAUGAAUUAUAUAUAAAUUUAAGACGGGGGCGAUGAGCAUGCAUCUCAUCUAUGGUGGCUUUGUGCGUGGAACAGGUUCUCGCCUGUAUUGAAUACUACCUGUUCCCGAUGGCAACCCACUUGGUUAACUGAACCGAACUCGUGGAGAGAAAAAAACAAUUGCUGCACUUUUGCAGCGAAAAAGCAAGAAAAACCCAACGCCUCCAGAAGUGAUUAUCCAGAGCGCACGGCGUCGGGAGUGCCCGUCACGGUCGGCGGCGGGGGCAUCUUUGAUCUUUCUCUCGCUUUGACAAGCAGGAGAUGAAAAAGUCCAAAGCUCGCGCGCACGGGGGGCCUGUACCUACCGCGCGACCUCGCGUGGCGUGUGGCGCUCCGUUGAUUGGGCAAAGCGCCCGGCGGGAAGUCAGCUGCUUCCGGCCCGUCCGCGGCCGCCGAAUCUCCCGUGCCUGCCGAAAGGGGGAUCUCGGCGCGGGCGGUGGUGCCGCGGCGGCGAGGCGCCAUCUGCGCCGCAGCUCACGUCCAAAGUGAAAGUUGCCGAAAGCUGGGCAAGAUAGCAUCACGGUUUUACAGAUUGCCUUGAAUUUGGAGCUGCAAAUUCCUGGCUCGGGUACAGUUUGCCAAAGGCCAUUGGAGAUGAAAAUUUUUUUUUGUGUCACAUCGGAUGUGUCAGAAGGAUGUCGAAAGAGAUUUUUAGAAAAAUAAAAAAACAAAUUACAUAGCUCAUCAGAAAACUACAAGACAAAUCUAUUAAGUAUAAUUAAUCUAUCAUUAACACAUGUGAGUUACUGUAGCACUUAAGGCUAAUCAUGGAGUAACUAGGCUUAAAAGAUUCGUCUCACAUUUUUCAAUCAAACUGUGUAAUUAGUUUAUUUUUUUAUAUACAUUUAAUGUUCUAUGCAUGUGUCCAAAGAUUCGAUGGGAUGGACGAAAAAAUUUAGAGUGGGGAACUAAACAGGGCUAGGCUUCAUUCGCUUGUGUUAUAACCUAUAUGUUUGACAUAUUUUUUCAACCAGCUAGUAGUGUUUUUUCUUCCACAAUAAAUCAAUAAAUGGUAUUUUGAGCCAUGACUCUUCAGACAAGCGAAUAGACUCUUAGGGUGAUUACGUGAGUCUAUUCGUUUGACUAAAAAACCAUAGCUGAAAAUACUGUUGGCUGAUUUAUUAUGAGAGAAAAAUAUUGUUUGAAUAUCUAACAGAUUCAGCAGAUAAGCUCAAACGAACGUGACGACCCAGUUUUAUUAUAUGUUAUAAUACGUCAUCUUUGUAUCGUGCCAAAAGGAAGGUGAGUGAAAUGGAUUAUUGUUACAUAGAACAUCUAUCCCAUAAUAAAUUGAACACAGCUGAGUUGGUUAAUUUCAUGAUCCAGCGAUGUUAUUUUAUUCUUUUGGUGGUAGGUGCUUCAUCAAUAUUAAGAUCAAUUGGCUCAUUCGUUCGAAGAUUAUUAUAGUUGUUGGAUGGGUGCUCAUACAUGUAUGCCAACGUCUUCUAGAUGAAAAAAUGAGCUAAAGUUUAGAGUUAUGGAACAACUUUUAGAGUUAUUUGAGAGUACUCCCAGCUCUAGAUCCUUUGCGAGAAUCACUCAUAAACAGCAAACGUGUAAAACGUGACUAGAUUUUGGUAGGAUCUAACAAGAACCGUUAUCUAUUUACACUACCAUUUGGGAGCUAAAAAACCACUCCCCACCGCUUCGUAAUCAGUUCUCACCAAAAAUCACUUUAGAAUAUUUUCCAACUGCUGAUGGAAUCAGUCACAGAAUCAGGGAGCUACAGCUUAAAUCACACAUAAAAAAAAACCCUCUACCAAACAAACCCAUUUUUUGCUAUACCAAUUACAUUAUUCCUUUUCUAAAAAAAAUUACACAAUUCCUUUUCUAUGAAUAAAUUAAGAUAGUUUGUAUGUUAAAUCGUCUUACCAAGAAAAUUCUUUCUUUUUCUUGGAUUCGGCAACAGUUCUUCGGACCGUGAUACAGUUGAGAAUCUGAGAUCGGUUCGCUAAUUUUCAGAUAUUGCGUCUAUGCACAGGCACCUCGUACAUUCCUGACGAAUAAUAACAAGAUGAGUGAUGCAAAGGUUGAAGCAUAGAUCCUAUCCUACAGCCACUAAACAUGCUUUUAAUCAACGCAAAGAUUGUUGUCUACUCUCUCCGUCCUGUAAUAUAGUGCAUUCUAGAAAUUUUAAGACAAAUUAAGAGAGAAUAUAAAAAACGCAUGUACAUUCACUUUAUUUCCUAAUUAGACCCCAUAAUCAAUUUGAUUAAUGGUGAUUGACUGAUAAAUAGAAAGUAUUUAAUGCAAAGAUUUUAUCCUCUAGAAUACAUUAUAUUUGAGGGUAAAUUUUAAAUAUUAGAAUGAACUAUAUUACAAGACGGAGAGAGUAGUAGUUAAAAAAAACAUGCCCAUGUGGAUGCAUUUAGCGGUAUGGACACUGAACCGUUUCCUUUCUGGAAAAAGGAGAGGCUAGCAAUCAUUUGAAAGCCAUGGCUACAAGUGAGGAGACAGAUGGAAGAAGUACUCAUGGCCACUCAAGGAUACUCAAACCUGCACCAAGAGAAGGGCAUGUGAUAUAACACAAAGGAAACCAUCUUCAGAAACAUACAGAGCAGGAAGUUCCUUUGCAAGCCCAAAGUACCGUUUGUCCACCUAAGGCUUUGUUUGGCUGCACUCUCUCUACCCUAAUUCAUAUGAGCAGGAAGUUCCUUUGCAAACCCAAAGUACCGUUUGUCCACCUAAGGCCUUGUUUGGCUACACUCUGUAUACCCUAAUUCAUAUGUAUUGAGGUGUAUUGGGGUUGAAAAAUAGUUGUGGAUUGAGGUGGAUUGCAGUGCAGCCAAAACAAGCCCUAAAGCUUGUUGUAUAACAUGUGCAGCAUCAAUAGAACGGAUUCCCAUAGGGGUAAUUCUCUUCAUGUUCAGCCAGCAGAUACUUGAUAUGACGAUAUAUUUUAACUGGUAUAAGCACGGGCCAGCUAUAAAUCCCAGGCAUGAUGGUUUAUAAGACCAACAUAUUCCAGAAAUAGCUCAAAGACAUCCCAUCAGAGCAACAAACACAGCCAGAAAAUCUUAAUACUUUUAACCCGAUGUGUAAAUUUGGUCACACUAUUUCAACAGGUAGCCUUGCGUAGUAUUGAUAUCUGUACUUCCUUGCCGACAUAUUCUCCCCGAGAAUGUUUAGUGUCAUCUCUGAACAUGACGAGGUUUACCUCUACUGGUGUUCAUGAAUCACAAACGUUUUACGACUAGCACUAGUUCAAGACAAUAAACAUGAAUGGAAUUUUCAGAGCCAACAACAUAGAAAGCAAAUGAUCGCAUAGGCUCAGUAGCUAUGAAAUUAAUUAAAGGUGAAAUGAUCGCUAAAAUCCUGGCAAAACAGAACAGCCACAAACUUUGUACCUUGCGAUCCAUCCAAUGAUUGUCAGUACAGAAAAAUAAGUCAUCUACUGACAAGGUUCAUUGCUAUUCUUAGAUGUAUGAGCAUUAUUCACAAAGGAGGAAGAAAUCAACUUUCCCCAGCAUUCGGGUUGGUUCCAGAAGCGGAUGGAGUCUGUUGAUCGGUGAAAGCGCCUCUGGCAGUUUGCGGUUCAGGUGUUGAGAAUAGCCCACUGAACCAAGGAACAAGGGCCCAUGCUCUGUUACUGCUCUCACUGUCAUUUUCAGGGCCAUCAGCCCUGACUUCCUCUUGGGUGCUCUCUGUUCUGUCGACAUUGCUAGGCUCAUUCAAAUCUUUCGUCUCUUCAGAUGGCAGCUCAAACCGGCACACAGGGCAGGAGCUAUGGAGUUCAAGCCAUGGCAGGAUACAAGGAGAGUGGAACUUAUGCUCGCAAGGCAUCUGCUUUGCAUGGGACCCCAGCUCAAGAUCAUCAAGGCAGACUGAACAGCUGACAACCUCUGCUAUUUGGACAGUGGGCAGAGCUUCAACCGCCUCUUUCUUUGCAGGAGGGGUGCCAUACCGGUUUGGGUCAUUCUCAGCCAAAUGUUGAAGCAGCAGGCUCAGCCCAGCCCCCAGGACAUAUUCUUCAAGCAAGCCAUCAUCAUUGUUAGAUCCACCUUGGUCAUCUCGAGCCUCAUCAGCGUCAAGUACCGAGCCUUGCAGAGCGAGGGCUUGGUUGAAGGCAUUGAUCAGAACGGAGUGGUCCCUUUCCCUGUCAGCUCUAAGGUCAUCCUGGAUGCUGUCAAGCACACGACGCAGAGCUGAUGCUCGUCCAUGCCUCCUGAUGAAACCCUCAAAUUCACGGCCUAUAUCAUCAUCGUCGUCAUCUUCAUCCUCACUGUCUGCUGCCGAUCCUGGCUGCUCAAAAGGGUUGUUUGACGUUCCCCAUUGUGAUAAAUCCCGCUCUGACUGCUGACUGACCAACCCCUCAAAUUCCUCCCCGAUCAUCUCUUCAAUGAAUCCACCAUCACAGAAUGGGCACUUGAUCUCCUCCCCCAUGGCCUCCUCAAUGGCCUUCUCACAUCCAUGGCACCAGUACCUUGUAACUGCAGCUUCUGUCAUCCUCCAAAUCCUUGCUGCCGAUCAAGUAUUGCACAGAGACAAAAGGUGUCAACAGUGCAAUAUGAAUAAAAAGGGAAAUAUGCACUGAUUCCCAAGCGAAUAACCAUGGGAUACAACUCAUCAUUGACGAGAGUAAGUGCAGCAUCUACAACAACUUUACCAAGAAGAGAUGAAACAAGAUGAAUACAGUGGCCAUCUGUGACUGAACUUCACUCAGUAAUGGCAGGCAUGGAGAUCUUAUAAUAAUUCGGUAUCAAGAAUAAGAACAAAGUUAAGUUUACAUCUAAUACAGAUAUUAAAACUCUAUUCACUUCAGCUCUAUAGGAACAGGAGCAGCAAGCUGUCCUACAGAGAAGACCCACUUGUAGACGAGGCAGCACUGGCAGAUCUUCUAGACGGGGGAAGGCAGAGAUUAGGAGUCGAGAUUCUUAGUUCAAGAAUAGGGUCCCAAUUCCACACUUUCUAUUUGAAGAACAAGAUUCUAUUCCAAAAGAAGGUAUUGAGAGCCCCCAUCACAAGUCAUUGUGGUUCGCGCAAACCACAGCACAAAACUAAUUCCCUGUCCUGUCCUCUCAGGAUUGAUUCACUCACAUUGCACUAUUCGCAAACUCAUCUUCCCCACCGAACAAUUCCCUCAAGAAAUCCCCAAUCUAUCAAGCAGCAAAAGCGAUCCCUUUUAUCAGACAGCACAAGAUAUAUUAUCCAAAGGGCCCAAAACAAACCGGCUCCGGGUUCUUGAUUUCGGGCACCGGAACCAAUCGCCCCCACAGAACAGAAACCACCUUCCUUUUUAGUAGUAGGAAGAGGAAAGAAAAAAACAGGGAGGGAGGGCUCGCGCGAAGAGACGAGACGACUGACCUUCGCGCUGCCGGCUGUUCCCCCUACUAGCGGAUGCGGAUUGGACGACGGCGCUGGUCCUCCGCCUGCGUGCGCCCGUCCUCGGUAGCUUCGGCGGAACGGGAGUAGUAGGAUGAUGAAGGGGAACAAACAACAAAGAAGUUACGGGGCAGGUGGCUGGCAUGCUAUGCUGGAUUUCUUUACUCCCUGGCCGUCAUCGUCGCCUGUUUCCAAAUGGAGGAGAGAUAUUUUUUUUUUUAUUUGAACCAGGCGCAAAUCUCCAACCAAUAAAGAUUGUUAUGACUUGGAAGCAUACAAUUGCUCUGCUCCUUUUUCGCUUUUCUUCGGGGAGUUUUUUUCAGUGCCUGUAAAUACAUUUGCAGUUUGGCUGAUAAAACCUCACUUUCAGGCAAAGGUGCCUACCAGCUAAUCCUCCUGCCCCAACUGUUGUUGGCUUUUCCUAAUUGUUUAUUUUUCUGCAUAUAUAUAUAUAUAUAUAAACUAGUAAACAUACCACUAUUAUUCUAUUAUUGUAUAUCAAGUAAACUUAUAUCAUACUCGUCUCUCAUUUUUUAACUAAAAAAACAACCGUGGAGGAAAACCAAAGUAGUAGGAUACCGGAUUGAGCUGGUUCUUGGGCGUUGUUUAGUUCAAAAAAAAUUUGUAAAAUUUUUCAGAUUCUCUGUCACAUCAAAUCUUUAAACGUAUGUAUGGAGUAUUAAAUAUAGACAAAAAUAAAAACUAAUUGUACAGUUUAGUCGGAAUUGAUGAGAUGAAUCUUUUGAGCCUAGUUAGUUCAUGAUUGGACAAUAUUUUUGUCAAAUACAAACGAAAAUGCUACUAUUACUAUUUUAUAAAAAAUUUUAGAACUAAAUAAGGCCUUGCAUUUGCAGGGCCAUGUCCGAAGAAAUUUCCGGUACAGCGCAACACGAUUUGUACGGGUAAAGGUGGCACAGCAAGCCAUUGACCGCGCACGAGGCCGUCCAUUUCCAACGGACGCUUCCAGGUUGCGUCUGCCGCCGGUCCCUACUCCCUAGUCGACCUUCAGCUUCUGGAAUACGGCGAAAAGGGAUUCCAUUCCACCUCGUUUUAGGCUGUGUUUAGUUGGUGAUGAAAAAAUUUCGCGACACUGUAGUAUUUUCGUUUGUUUGUGGUAAUUAUUGUCCAAUCAUAGACUAACUAGACUCAAAAAAAUCGUCUCGAAAAUUUCGACCAAACUAUGUAAUUAGUUUUUAUUUUUAUCUAUAUUUAAUACUUCAUGCAUGCGUCUAAAAAUUUGAUGUGAUAAAGAAUUUUGAAAAAAUUUGGGUUUUGAGUGGAAGUAAAGAAGGCAUUAGAGCAUCUCCAACAGGUUAGCUAUCCUACCCUGUUUAGACAAAAUUAGAGAAAAUUAGGCUCCAAUAGCCUCGCUAACGGGAUUUCUAAAAUACAAAAGUAGCUAUUCCGUUUUUGUCGCUCGGGAGAAGAAGCGAGCGGCCUUGGCUCGCCAUCCUAUCCACCAUGGGCCCUGCCUGUCAAGUGCCACGGCUGUCCUAGCCCCUGCCCCCACUAGUGCCGACGCCGAUCCAUCCUGCCGUCGUGCCGAGCGCCACCGCCAUUGUUAUGGCAACAAGUUGCGAGCAGCAAUCGUCAUGGCAACAACACUCAUUCGUGGGCUCUGCAGCUGUGCAGGCGCGGGCGUCAAGAGCAACACCACCCAAAGUCAAGCAAGCUGCUACUCUUGAGACGAAGGCCAAAGCAAGAUUGGCUGCCGCCGCCGCCGCCGCCGUAGCCCGUAGUGGCAGCAACAAUGAGGCAAGUCGAGGAGACACAUUGAGUCGGCGCUGCCGGGAUGUGCGGGGAGGUGAAUGCCUUGCGGAGAGAGGUGAUAUGCCUGCUCCGUUCAAAACCUUCAGCACCAGCGGCUGCCCGAGCGUCGUCGGUGUCCACGCCCCAGAGGUGCUCGACGAUAUGCGUCGUUUCAGUUUAAUUCAAGCCUAUGAUGUGGAAGCAUGUUCAAGAAAUAGAAAGCCAAUUUAGACAAGCUGUUGUGGGACUUCUCUAUUUUGAAUGGCUAAAUUGUUUUAGAGAGCCAAUUUCCAUAUCCAAAUUUACCUAUUCUCUUGGAGUUGCUCUUAGCGUGGUUAUAGUUGCCUGCGGACGGAGAGGGUCGGUCAAGAUCGGUGGCCAUGGCGUGGGCUCCGUCCUCGCCGACGUCAACGUUUUAGCGGCGGCGGCGUGGGCUCGCCGGGGCAGAGAAAGAAAAAAAAGGCCACCGUGGCCGCGCCAACGGCAGCCCAGUGGGACAGGCCUCAUUUGCAGCCGGGCCGGUACGGUGUUGGCGACGGGCCGGCUGACGAGACGGGAAGGAAUGGCCGCAGCCCACAAGUCAUCCUGUCGGCCCAGCACCGUCUCUGAUCAGGAAGCGAACGGCGUUGUCCCGUGCCCGUCCCAACCAACCCCGCCUCCACUGCGCACAGCGCACCUACCCGUCUCCGGUCGGCGUCACCGGUCAGUCACGACGGCUCUAAAAUCUCAGGCACGCACCACACCACCAGACCAGACCAAACCAAACCAAACCCCCGCCCGCGAAUCUAAAGCCGAACCAACCAACGGGGAGGGGAGGGGAGGGGAAGGGCACGGCGGGGGGCAUGGAGUUCCUGCACGGGCAGAGGCUGGAGACCACGGUGGCCAUCGCGGUGGCCGUCGUCGCCGUCGCCGCGGGGGCCGCCUACCUCUUCCUCCGCAGCAGGAAGACCAGGGGUGAGCCCUUUUGCGCGUUUUCCGUCACCAAUAACCCCGCGCGUGUCCGGAACCCUUUGCUGUGGCCUGUGGCUACUCACUCGUCUUCUCUCGUGUCCUCGUGUGGUCAAUACUCACUAGUGCUAGUAGUAUGUUAUCUCUGGCUCUGAAUCCUGCCGCGCUGGUGUCGUGCUGAGCUCAAAGAAUUUGUGAAGUAGGCGAUCCAUCGAUUCAUCUUCCUGUCAUGCUAAUAAUUGGAUUUAGAUGUGUUGAUGCCUCUGAGCACUAGUGUCGGUAAGAUUACAUGAUUCGCCAAAGCUGAACAUUCAGAGAUAAGGCCCCGUUUGGUUUGCGUUGUUAAAGUUUACCGCCCUUAAAGUUCCUUGCUAGGCCAAGGCCAUCUAGUUGAUAUGCUUCUUUGGGUUCUGAACCAUUUCAGAACUGGUCCAACCAGUGUUUGGAACCUACUGGCCUCAGACUGUAGUUUUGCUCCCCCGUGAUGAAUGAAUCUCCUUGAUCGCAAAAAAAAGAAGGCCCUAUUUAUUUAUUUAUCCUAACAACCGUGAUUAUUUUCUUGCUACUUGGUAAUCUGUGUAUGCAUAUACCGUUCUACUUAUUUUAAGUGACCUACUUAGUGCUUUUGAAGCUACGAGCUCAUUCUUUUUUACGAACACGGAGCUCGCAGCCUAGUCCCAUUUUUUGUUCUUGUAGCUCAUUUGUGUUGGUUGCAUUGUGUGAUCUGUUUUAUAGGCUGCCUGGACCCCGAGAACUUCAAGGAGUUUAAACUUGUUGAGAAGAGGCAACUGAGUCAUAAUGUUGCCAAGUUCAAGUUUGCACUCCCGACACCUACUUCUGCAUUGGGUCUUCCAAUCGGACAACAUAUAAGCUGCAGGUUUGCGCUCUUCGUUACCGGUUUUGAAAGUGGGUUUGCAAGGUGCAGCCGUUAGUUUUGAAUUUCCUUUAAUCUUACUGUGUUUAUCCCCAAUUGUUCCAGAGGACAGGAUGCUGCUGGUGAGGAAGUGAUCAAGCCUUAUACUCCAACUACUCUGGACUCUGAUCUUGGAUCCUUUGAGCUUGUUAUAAAGGUAGGUUUUCAAUAAGAUGAUCUUUUUUUUUUUUCAUUCCUAAUCUUUCCAUCUUAUCUUCAAUUGUGUUGUUAUGCAUCUUUGGUCACCGAUGCAACUAUUUGUGCACUGUUGUGGUUGACCACUUAUUUUUCUUUCUUUCCCAUCAUGAAGAUGUAUCCCCAAGGAAGAAUGUCUCAUCAUUUCCGUGAGAUGAAAGUUGGUGAUUAUAUGUCUGUGAAGGGACCUAAGGUAUACCUGUAUCACAUUUUAUUUUGUACGUAGAUUUUGCCUGUUCCAUGUCCGAAUUCACACACUGUACAUGCUCAAUUUGGUCCUUUCUCAUGAUACAUAUUUUGGUCUUGAUUUUUAUUUUGUCUAUAAUCCUCUGAGUUACUGAGCAUUAUUAGGCAUCGCGCUUGUCAUUCUGUGGUUGUAAAUACCUUGUUAUCCUCCUACAUUGGAAAGAGGCGUUCAUUUGUUUUGUGAGAUGAGAGUGAUAGCAUUUGUUUUAGCAAAGGCAACAAAUGAACAAAACGGCAAAAAGUACCUAGAAGUUUUGCAUUUUGAAUGAAGUUGAGUAGGCUACCAACAUCUAUUUUGAACCGGAGGAUGUAUUUUAUUAAUGAAAACGUAGAUAUACUCCUGGUAUGCAUUUUGGCCUUUUGAUAUUGAAGUUAAAUAAAUGCUUCUCUAACCUAGGGUCGUUUCAAGUACCUACCUGGACAAGUGAGAGCAUUUGGAAUGAUAGCUGGAGGAUCAGGCAUUACUCCAAUGUUCCAAGUAAUAACAUGCCGUCCAAAGUUCUUUAUUAUGUUAUAAAAGUUGAGAUAUUUAUUUUAGUACUCAGCAGUGCAUUUUCUGUCUUACUAUAGGUCACAAGGGCAAUUCUUGAGAACCCAAAAGACAAUACGAAAGUACACUUAAUCUAUGCAAAUGUCACAUAUGAUGAUAUUCUUCUGAAGGUAUGCCUUUUAUGCUGACAGACUUCAUUGACUCUUAACCUGAUAGCAGUUAUAUACCUGUAUGUAAAUGGGCCUGGUUCAAUGGAUGAUGCCUAUUUGGUGAGACACUGAUAUCAUUACUCUCCAUCUGUCCAUCUUACAUUACAAAUAGAAAACUAGUAGGGCUGGUUUCUGAGAUAAGGAAAUAAUCUGGUUUUUUGCGCAAAAAUUACGGAUCAUGUCAUGAAGAGCAGAAACAUGUGACAGAAUACCAGGCAAUUUGUAUUCUGCUACUAGAAUUCUAUAUAUGCCAUCUUGCAAGAAUUCUUCUAUAAAAUAUGUGUAAGCAGCACUCUGUUUUUGAGAAAUAAUUAUGGAUUUGUUCCUCCACAGUAUAACUAGGAACUCUUGUCUACAGUCCUUGUAGUCUGUUAAUGUUACUCUUGUAGACACCUGUUUGUUUGCUAAACUAAACCAUCACAAUAGAAGAAAAAAUUAUGUUUGACAUGCCAUUUGUGCCACUGAUUGGUCUUAUGACAUUACAUUCGUGAUGAAAUUGCAACUUGCUAUGAUCAUACAGUACGGUAUCGUUUUUGUGCGCUUAUAUUUUGCUUGAUGCAGGAAGAACUUGACAGUAUGGCCAAAAACUAUCCCGAUCGCUUCAAGAUCUACUAUGUCUUGAAUCAGGUCUAUUUCUAUUCUAAGAAUUAGUAGUUUGGCCAGUCACCUGUCAUUAGUGGAUACCUUGUGUUUCGCGUGUCCGUGUCUUACUAAAUAGGCAUUGUUUCCGUGCAGCCUCCCGAAGUCUGGGACGGUGGUGUCGGGUUCGUCUCAAAGGAAAUGAUCCAAACUCAUUGUCCAGUGCCCGCUGCCGACAUUCAGGUAAACUUUCCAGUUACUGAAAGCACUUGCUGGAACUUGGAAGCCAUCAGUUUUGCUCGGUGAAGUCACACACUAGGGGGUUUUCCGUUUUCAGGUAUUGCGAUGUGGCCCUCCUCCCAUGAACAAAGCCAUGGCUGCACACCUGGACGAUCUCGGUUACACGAAGGAGAUGCAGUUCCAGUUCUAAGCAUUCUCUCUACCAAUACCAAAAUAAGCGGCGAUGGGACAGGUUUCUUUGCCUCUUUGAGACUUUGAGUAGACGAAGCCUGAUCCUGUCGCCAUAUAGCUCCAAACAGACGAAGUAUGCCGUUCAGAGCAUCGUACCUGGAUGAAAGCAGGAGUACCGCGAGUACCUACCUAAUCUGUAUUGGUGUCGGGACAUUAUUGUACCAUGCCAUUUUUCGUGUCGUCGCAAUCGCUGCUCCAAUGAAGACAUGUUAUUUUUGUUUUCUGGCAUCGCCAUUUUUUUGCCUCAUAUCUGCAAUGUUACCAGUGGUUACACUGCACCCUCUCCCCCCAACACAAUCGUUUGUCACUCCGAGCCGGCACACGGUGCCAACUUGCGUCAUUCUGACGCGUCAUACAAAUACAAAAACUGUGCAUGUGCAGAUGUGUUAAUCUCUGUUCUUGCAGAGCAAUGGACGCGUGCGCAUACAUACGGGUAGGCUUGGUAGCAAACAGGCGAGCAGGUGGUGUGUUGGUUGCAGCUCCUGCCCUAUGAGGCCGAAACACGAACAGCACAGCGAUCUCAAGCCGCUCGUUUACGCGCCAGGUGCAGGUAUAGAUGGCCAGUGACACCAAGGCGUUCGUCGUCGUCUUCUUGGCUCCUGCUACAUGGUUUCAUGGCGUGUCCGUACAUGUACGUGCGAUUGCUUCGUGCUCAGGGGACAGCACACAGCAGACAGGAGACCAAGUGGCAGGCAGUGCGUUCUCGGCGGCCCUGCUUAGGCCUUGUUUAGGCCUUGUUUAGUUCCCAAAAAAUUUUACAAAAUUUUUUAGAUUCCCCGUCAUAUCGAAUCUUUAGACGCAUGCAUGGAGUAUUAAAUAUAAACGAAAAUAAAAACUAAUUGCAUAGUUUGGUCGGAAUUGAUGAGAUGAAUCUUUUGAGACUAGUUAGUCCAUGAUUGGACAAUAUUUGUCACAAACAAACGAAAGUGCUACAGUGCCUAGUUUGCAAUUUUUUUUGGAACUAAACAAGGCCUUAGUUUGUAUAAUUUUCAAGACUCUCUAUCACAUCGAGUCUUACGGCACAUGUAUGAUGCAUUAAAUAUAUAUAAAAAUAAAAAUUAAUUGUACAGUUUACCUGUAAAUCACAAGAUAAAUCUUUUAAAUCUAGUUACUUUAUAAUUGGAUAAAAAAAUAUUUGUCAAAUAAAAACAAAAAUGCUACAGUGUUGAAAUCUAAAAAAAUUUGUGAACUGAAACAGGCCUUAGUUUGCAUCUUAAAACUUUUCAUCCUGUCACAUCAAAUAUUUAAUAUAUACAUAAAAGUUAAAUAUAAAUUUAAAAAUAAUUAAUUAUACAAUUUACAAGUAUUUUUUCAAGAUGGAAUUUUUAAACCUAAUUAAUCUAUAAUUGAACACUAAUUACUAUAAUUAUAAAUAUGUUAUAUAAUAUCUAAAAAAUUUCUUUUCUCGAACUAGUCCGGACAACUGCAAUGGCAGGGAUGUGACGUUCAGACGAUCGAAUUCGGUCCGAUAAAGACAUAGGAAGUCGUCAAAUCGAAAAGUUGUAUGCUAAAAAAAAAAUCCGUGUUUUGCUUUUGUCGCAAGAGGGCCUGUGGGCAUGUCAAAUUCCUGUGGGUGAUCGUGUGUUUUCGUUGGGAGGAGCACUGAUUACUGAGCCUGGGCCAUUAUAAUAGUAGCUUAGCGGUUAAGCUUUCACAGAUGUACUAGGCACUCAUAAUAUUAUUACCACCAAACGCACUCGAGUGAGUGUGCAAAUUGUAGGGACCAGAAUUUUAAAGUUAUAUGAGGUGAAAGCUGAAAAGGACACAUCCGUAUGUUUUUUUUACUUAGCCUACAAUUUGCUUCCAAAAGGUAAAAAAAAUAUAAUAAAACAUGUAAUAAGCUUCGAAAAGGUCAUUCUCCCUACAUUUUUGGAAGCAAAUUGCCAACUGUAACACCGACCAUGUAAUAAGCUUCCAAAAGGUCAUUCCCCUGCAAGGUAAUAAGCUUCCAAAAGGUUUAAAAAAAACUACCAGAAUAAAGUUAUAUAAGAUGAGAAAGACGCAUCGCUAGAGUAAAUUGGAGGGAGAUGCACUUGCCUUGUGGGUUCAUAAAGAUGGUUUGUAGGGGAUGCAUAUACGGUGAAAUUUUAAUCAAAUCUACUAUUUUUGAAUUUUUUUGGGGUGCAACGCAGCUCCGCCCCUGGAUGUAAAAGAUAGAGCUACAACUUUGACAUCAAGUCAUCAACCAUGCAUACAACAGGGGCGGAUGUAUAGUAGUAGCAUGGGAGUACAAUUGUCCCCCCAAAAUUUCUUGAAAAACAUCUAGUAUAUAAUACUCUUUAGUAACAUGUACAUAUAUAAUACAUUGUUAUAUACAAUUGCUAGUCUGCUCAGCCCAUACAACAACCUUAACAUUCUACAUUCACAACUAUUUUAUCACCGUUUAGUGAUAUAAUUAUGUUAUGUUCAUAUUGAUGAACUAUAUCGUUUUUGUCCGUACCCCCAUGAUUAAAAUCCUAGAUCCGCCACUGGCAUACAAUAAGCUUCCAAGAGGUCAUUCUCCCUACAAAGUUGUAAUAAGCUUCCAGAAGAUGUUAAAAAAAAUUCUACAGAAUUUUCAAGUUAUACAAGGUGUGAAAGACGCAUUGGUUGAUGUAAGAGCUAUAGUACAACUUUGACGUCAACCAUGUAAUAAGCUUCCAAAAGGCCAUUCUCCUUCCCUGUGAAACAAACAAGGGGUUUUUGUUUAUUGCUCUCGUAAUUUGUAGAGAUGAAGCAUAUGCAUAUGCAUAUGCAUGGCGGGCGAUCGCCUGCCGUGGAAGAUCGGACUAGCUCACUGUCACCACCGUUUUAAAAUGGGCACCAUGCAAUGCAAUGCAUGGCCCCCCACUAAUCGGCCGAGUGGGGGAGUGGUGGUCUCGCCUCUAAUGAUGGCAACGAUGAUGGCAUCCUUUCAGCUAGCUCCGAGCUAAGGCCUCAUUACCCGAAUCAUAUCUUUCGUAUGCAGCUUGCGUUUGGACCAUUGCGCUUCACACACAGAUCUGCACUACGGCCUAAAUGCGCCACAGCACCGUACCAUAUCCCUUCGUGCGCAUUCAAUUUAAUCAUCAUCGAGUAGGGGAGGCGGCGUUUUCCUUUCUUCCAUCUUUUUUUUUGUUGUUUCCUCUUAAAAAGAACUUGAGUAACCAUUCUAGUAACAACCACUUUUAAUGGGUGGUUCUAUGUGGAGACAUGCACGCUAGCUUGUUGCUGAAAAUUUGUUUUUUUAGGUCAUAUGCUCUCACUUGCACCAUCGUUGGAUAAACCUAGUGUUGUUUGUUUGUCUGCAUUGUGUUAGCCUGGCUACAACAUAUGUUUGUUUUGUUGGUUGGCUUGCUUUGCAUAGAGUCACCUAUUCUUUAAGAUGGUGAGUUCACCCUCUUUAAGAUAUUGUGUCGAACAGACACGCCUCUCGCCACCAUCCUUCUCCUCGCCGAGCAUUCAAGCACCGCGCUGACUUCGCGACCUUGCACAACGAUGCCGCCAGAGUUGUUGCGCCGCCACCUGCGGGCCUUACACUGCCGUGGCGGAACCGACACCGAGAGGCAGGGCACCAUAGGCGAUCCACGGGCCAAGGUCAAUCUCAAUAAAAUGUCUCAUUUUCAUUAAAUGGGGAGUUACAUAAAUGGCACUAAAGUUAUUAUUGAUG